rnacentral:misc_RNA from 1 species
AAGUCGUAACAAGGUCUCCGUAGGUGAACCUGCGGAGGGAUCAUUAACACGCGAACAAAGCGUUUCUUACCAAACUCAUGGAAACAAAGUUGGACAAUUGUCAGCAAUGAGAAUCGAAAACUAGUUCUCUCCCCAUACAUAUAUAUAGUCAUAUAUAUAUAUGAAUGGGCUAUUUUUAUAAUUCUUAUAAAAACCCUUUUCCAACUGUAGAUUAAUAUUUCGAUAUUAAUUUAUUAUUAUUGACGAAUAUUGUUCUUUACUACUAUUUAUUUAGUAUGAAAGAACGAACUUAAGAUAAUCUAAGCACAACUCUUAGCAACGGAUAUCUUGGUUCUC